GGGAGGCAGAAGAGUCACACGGAAAGAAAUGUUUGCUGCAUAAACAGAGGGAUAGAAUCAAGAUCACGUGAAGUGUUAGUGCCACUUUAUAAUGCCUUGGGCAUUGAUGAUAUUACCUACUUGGGCAGUGAAGCAUCUUCAAAAAACAACCAAGUUCAGAGAGCUGCAAGGAUCUCACAGUUUAACCCUGAGCUACAACUAUUUUCUUCUAUUGAUGAAUAUAUUCUGCUGUUCCAACUGUCCUAGUUCUGCCCUUGGAGGCAACAGAGAACAAGCCGAAUUUUUCCUCUGUAUGACAACUUGUUUGAUAUCUGAAUACAGAAGAUCAUUAUAUACCUUCAACCUUCUCUUGUCCAAGCUACACUGGUCCAGUUGUUUUAACUGUCCACCAUACUAGGACUUGACCUGUAUUUUCUCAGUCCUAGUCCGGUAUUUAACCAUAAUAGCACCUCUUUACUAAUAGAGACAAAUCUGUCUAGCUUGUAACCACACAGGCAGAACCAGUUUCAAGAAACUGCUGUGGUCUCCUAAGGGAUUGUUUCGUCCAGAUCUAACUUGUGUUCAUCCCUGGCCUAGAGAUUGAAUUGGGUUCACAACUGGCUUAGGACCGGGCUAUUUACGGGACUGCCUACUGCCACCAACAGCCUCCCAUCAACCUGUGCGCUCCCACAGGGAGGGCCUCCUCGGAGUACCAUCAGUUAAACAAUGUCGACUGGCGGCCCCCGGGGGAGGGCCUUCUCUGUGGGGGCUCUUGCCCUCUGGAAUGAGUUGCCUCCGGGGCUUCGUCAACUCCCUGACCUCUGGACCUUCUGCCGCGAGCUGAAGACUCUUUUAUUCCAUUGAGCAGAGCUAGCCUAAAUAUGUAGUUUUAAUGAGGUUUUAGUUUUAUUGUUAUUGUUAGUUUUUAGUAUUUUGGCCAUAAAUUAUACUAAUUUUAUAUUGUUUUUAACUUGUAUUAUAUUGUGUUUUUAAACUGGCUGUUAACCGCCAUGAGUCCUUCGGGAGAAGGGCGGUAUACAAAUUCGAUUAUAAAUAAAUAAAAAUAAAUAAACUAUUGUGUACCUAUCGAUGUAUUUACGUGAACUUUCAAAUGGAUAAAAAUACAGCAUCCUUUCUUUGGGGCCCCUCUGCCUAAAAACACAUUGGAAAUUAGGAAAACAAGUGCAAUUUGGAUAAUUAGACUAUAUUUUUUAAAAAAAAAGACCAAUCAGAUGCUUGGUUUAACAAAUGAAAUCCACAAAAAGUGUUCCAGGGGUUAUGUUUGAAGCAAAUGCUAGACGUGUUUGGAUAUCUUGCUCAAGCUAUUUUUGAUAACUGUCAUAAGAGGAAGCUUCUACAAUUGGCCUUAUUGUGCACAAAGACUCUUGUGAGAUUAUUAUUAUUAAUUGCCUGUAGGACAAGUCUGAGUGAAAACAGCUGAGAAACGGUGCCAAGGAAGUAGAGAAAUUCAGGAAGAAAAAUCCGAACAUCAUUUUCGGUUUGUGGUGAAAUCCAAUUUUUUUUACUACAGGUUCUGUGGGCGUGGCUUGGUGGGCAAGGCAGGGGAAGGCUAUCACAAAAUCCACAUUCCCACCCCACUCCAGGGGAAGGAUACUGUAAAAUCCCCAUUCCCUCCCCACUCCUGGGGGAAGGAUGUUGCAAAAUCUCCAUUCCCACCACACUGUGGGGACAGCCAGAGAUGGUAUUUACCGGUUCUCUGAACUACUCAAAAUUUCUGCUACCGGUUCUCCAGAACCUAUGAGAACCUGCUGGAUUUCACCCCUGCCUUUGCCCCAAUAGAAACUCAAAUACUUCUGAUAAUAAACUUGGAGGCCAUUAAAUCUAUUUUUUAUAUUUAAAAAAUCUAAAAUCUAUCCCUCUCUGUGGCUAGUCAUAAAGAAAUCUCAAGGGAUUACCCACAUCGAAGAGCUGUAAUUUGAUUCUUAUGUGUUCUUAUGAGCUUCUUGUGAAAUGUGUCAUGUUACUGCA